UACAGAGGGUGCAAGCGUUAAUCGGAAUUACUGGCGUAAAGCGCGCGUAGGUGGUUUGUUAAGUUGGAUGUGAAAUCCCCGGGCUCAACCUGGGAACUGCAUCCAAAACUGGCAAGCUAGAGUAUGGUAGAGGGUGGUGGAAUUUCCUGUGGUAGCGGUGAAAUGCGUAGAUAUAGGAAGGACACCAGUGGCGAAGGCGACCACCUGGAC
rnacentral:rRNA from 1 species